rnacentral:rRNA from 1 species
GACGAACGCUGGCGGCGUGCCUAAUACAUGCAAGUCGAACGAGAGCGACCGGUGCUUGCACUGGUCAAUCUAGUGGCGAACGGGUGAGUAACACGUGGGUAACCUGCCCAUCAGAGGGGGAUAACAUCCGGAAACGGAUGCUAAAACCGCAUAGGUCUUCGAGCCGCAUGGCUUGAAGAGGAAAAGAGGCGCAAGCUUCUGCUGAUGGAUGGACCCGCGGUGCAUUAGCUAGUUGGUGAGGUAACGGCUCACCAAGGCCGUGAUGCAUAGCCGACCUGAGAGGGUGAUCGGCCACAUUGGGACUGAGACACGGCCCAAACUCCUACGGGAGGCAGCAGUAGGGAAUCUUCCGCAAUGGACGCAAGUCUGACGGAGCAACGCCGCGUGAGUGAAGAAGGUUUUCGGAUCGUAAAACUCUGUUGUUAGAGAAGAACAAGUGCUAGAGUAACUGCUAGCGCCUUGACGGUAUCUAACCAGAAAGCCACGGCUAACUACGUG